AUUGAACGCUGGCGGCAGGCUUAACACAUGCAAGUCGAGCGGGGGAAGGUAGCUUGCUACCGGACCUAGCGGCGGACGGGUGAGUAAUGCUUAGGAAUCUGCCUAUUAGUGGGGGACAACAUCUCGAAAGGGAUGCUAAUACCGCAUACGUCCUACGGGAGAAAGCAGGGGAUCUUCGGACCUUGCGCUAAUAGAUGAGCCUAAGUCGGAUUAGCUAGUUGGUGGGGUAAAGGCCUACCAAGGCGACGAUCUGUAGCGGGUCUGAGAGGAUGAUCCGCCACACUGGGACUGAGACACGGCCCAGACUCCUACGGGAGGCAGCAGUGGGGAAUAUUGGACAAUGGGGGGAACCCUGAUCCAGCCAUGCCGCGUGUGUGAAGAAGGCCUUAUGGUUGUAAAGCACUUUAAGCGAGGAGGAGGCUACUUUAGUUAAUACCUAGAGAUAGUGGACGUUACUCGCAGAAUAAGCACCGGCUAACUCUGUGCCAGCAGCCGCGGUAAUACAGAGGGUGCGAGCGUUAAUCGGAUUUACUGGGCGUAAAGCGUGCGUAGGCGGCUUAUUAAGUCGGAUGUGAAAUCCCCGAGCUUAACUUGGGAAUUGCAUUCGAUACUGGUGAGCUAGAGUAUGGGAGAGGAUGGUAGAAUUCCAGGUGUAGCGGUGAAAUGCGUAGAGAUCUGGAGGAAUACCGAUGGCGAAGGCAGCCAUCUGGCCUAAUACUGACGCUGAGGUACGAAAGCAUGGGGAGCAAACAGGAUUAGAUACCCUGGUAGUCCAUGCCGUAAACGAUGUCUACUAGCCGUUGGGGCCUUUGAGGCUUUAGUGGCGCAGCUAACGCGAUAAGUAGA
rnacentral:rRNA from 1 species